AUGCAGUCGAACGAUGAACCACUUCGGUGGGGAUUAGUGGCGAACGGGUGAGUAACACGUGGGCAAUCUGCCCUGCACUCUGGGACAAGCCCUGGAAACGGGGUCUAAUACCGGAUAUUGACCUUCACGGGCAUCUGUGAGGUUCGAAAGCUCCGGCGGUGCAGGAUGAGCCCGCGGCCUAUCAGCUUGUUGGUGAGGUAAUGGCUCACCAAGGCGACGACGGGUAGCCGGCCUGAGAGGGCGACCGGCCACACUGGGACUGAGACACGGCCCAGACUCCUACGGGAGGCAGCAGUGGGGAAUAUUGCACAAUGGGCGAAAGCCUGAUGCAGCGACGCCGCGUGAGGGAUGACGGCCUUCGGGUUGUAAACCUCUUUCAGCAGGGAAGAAGCGAAAGUGACGGUACCUGCAGAAGAAGCGCCGGCUAACUACGUGCCAGCAGCCGCGGUAAUACGUAGGGCGCAAGCGUUGUCCGGAAUUAUUGGGCGUAAAGAGCUCGUAGGCGGCUUGUCACGUCGGUUGUGAAAGCCCGGGGCUUAACCCCGGGUCUGCAGUCGAUACGGGCAGGCUAGAGUUCGGUAGGGGAGAUCGGAAUUCCUGGUGUAGCGGUGAAAUGCGCAGAUAUCAGGAGGAACACCGGUGGCGAAGGCGGAUCUCUGGGCCGAUACUGACGCUGAGGAGCGAAAGCGUGGGGAGCGAACAGGAUUAGAUACCCUGGUAGUCCACGCCGUAAACGGUGGGCACUAGGUGUGGGCAACA
rnacentral:rRNA from 1 species